AUGAUGAUAACGACCGCUUACGAAUUGUGACGAGGGUAUGCAGCGCUGA
rnacentral:snoRNA from 1 species